UACGUAGGGUGCAAGCGUUAAUCGGAAUUACUGGGCGUAAAGCGUGCGUAGGCUGUUCUGCAAGUCAGGAGUGAAAGCCCAAGGCUCAACCUUGGAAGCGCUCUUGAAACUGCAGGACUAGAAUUUGGGAGAGGAUAGCGGAAUUGUCAGUGUAGCAGUGAAAUGCGUAGAUAUUGACAGGAACACCAGUGGCGCAAGCGGCUAUCUGGACCAACAUUGACGCUGAGGCACGAAAGCGUGGGGAUCAAACAGG
rnacentral:rRNA from 1 species